rnacentral:rRNA from 1 species
UACGAAGGGGGCUAGCGUUGCUCGGAAUCACUGGGCGUAAAGCGCACGUAGGCGGCUUUCUAAGUCAGGGGUGAAAUCCUGGAGCUCAACUCCAGAACUGCCUUUGAUACUGGAGAGCUCGAGUCCGGAAGAGGUGAGUGGAACUGCGAGUGUAGAGGUGAAAUUCGUAGAUAUUCGCAAGAACACCAGUGGCGAAGGCGGGUCUCUGGGCCGAAAUUGACGCUGAGGAGCGAAAACGUGGGGAGCAAACAGG